ACAAACCGGAGGAAGGUGGGGAUGACGUCAAAUCAUCAUGCCCCUUAUGACCUGGGUUACACACGUGCUACAAUGGACGGUACAAAGAGCUGCAAGACCGCGAGGUGGAGCUAAUCUCAUAAAACCGUUCUCAGUUCGGAUUGUAGGCUGCAACUCGCCUACAUGAAGCUGGAAUCGCUAGUAAUCGCGGAUCAGCAUGCCGCGGUGAAUACGUUCCCGGGCCUUGUACACACCGCCCGUCACACCACGAGAGUUUGUAACACCCGAAGUCGGUGGGGUAACCUUUUGG
rnacentral:rRNA from 1 species